rnacentral:rRNA from 1 species
CCUACGGGAGGCAGCAGUGGGGAAUAUUGGACAAUGGGCGAAAGCCUGAUCCAGCAAUGCCGCGUGAGUGAUGAAGGCCUUCGGGUCGUAAAGCUCUUUUACCAGGGAUGAUAAUGACAGUACCUGGAGAAUAAGCUCCGGCUAACUCCGUGCCAGCAGCCGCGGUAAUACGGAGGGAGCUAGCGUUGUUCGGAAUUACUGGGCGUAAAGAGUACGUAGGCGGUUAUUCAAGUCAGAGGUGAAAGCCCGGGGCUCAACCCCGGAACUGCCCUUGAAACUAGAUAACUAGAGUCUUGGAGAGGUUAGUGGAAUUCCGAGUGUAGAGGUGAAAUUCGUAGAUAUUCGGAAGAACACCAGUGGCGAAGGCGACUAACUGGACAAGUACUGACGCUGAGGUACGAAAGCGUGGGGAGCAAACAGGAUUAGAUACCCUGGUAGUCCACGCCGUAAACGAUGAUAACCUAGUUGUUCGGUCACUUGGUGACUGAGUGAGCANCACACAUAUUAUCNCUGGAGUAGUCGCAGAUAACUACAAGAAGUAGAGNGNGAAGAGUGCGAGACGACACGAGGAGAG